rnacentral:rRNA from 1 species
CCUACGGGGUGCAGCAGUGGGGAAUAUUGGACAAUGGGCGAAAGCCUGAUCCAGCCAUGCCGCGUGUGUGAUGAAGGCCUUCGGGUUGUAAAGCACUUUCAGUGGGGAAGAAAGCCUUGGGGCUAAUACCCUCGAGGAAGGACAUCACCCACAGAAGAAGCACCGGCUAACUCCGUGCCAGCAGCCGCGGUAAUACGGAGGGUGCGAGCGUUAAUCGGAAUUACUGGGCGUAAAGCGCGCGUAGGCGGUCUGAUAAGCCGGUUGUGAAAGCCCCGGGCUCAACCUGGGAACGGCAUCCGGAACUGUCAGGCUAGAGUGCAGGAGAGGAAGGUAGAAUUCCCGGUGUAGCGGUGAAAUGCGUAGAGAUCGGGAGGAAUACCAGUGGCGAAGGCGGCCUUCUGGACUGACACUGACGCUGAGGUGCGAAAGCGUGGGUAGCAAACAGGAUUAGAUACCCUUGUAGUC